CCUACGGGAUGCUGCAGUGAGGAAUCUUGGUCAAUGGGCGCGAGCCUGAACCAGCCAAGUAGCGUGAAGGUUGACUGCCCUACGGGUUGUAAACUUCUUUUAUAAAGGAAUAAAGUGAGGCACGUGUUCAUUUUUGUAUGUACUUUAUGAAUAAGGAUCGGCUAACUUCGUGCCAGCAGCCGCGGUAAUACGGAGGAUCCGAGCGUUAUCCGGAUUGAUUGGGGUUAAAGGGAGCGUAGAUGGGUUGUUAAGUCAGUUGUGAAAGUUUGAGGCUCAACCGGAAAAUUGCAAUUGAUACGGGCAGUCUUGAGUACAGUUGAGGUAGGCGGAAUUCGUGGUGUAGCGGUGAAAUGCUUAGAUAUCACGAAGAACUCCGAUUGCGAAGGCAGCUUACUAAACUGCCACUGACAUUGAUGCUCGAAAGUGUGGGUAUCAAACAGGAUUAGAUACCCCUGUAGUC
rnacentral:rRNA from 1 species